CGAUUAGGAGCUGCGUCGGAAUGAAAGAGUUUUUCAAGUUACAGAAAGAUGACUAAAAGCACUUGGCCGCACAAUAUUAUAGAAUUUCAUAAUUUAAGGUUAUAAGAGUAAUUGAAACAUGGCGCUGAAAAAUUUCCAGGUUCGAGUCACGGCAAUUAUGCGAGAAUAUUUUGGUUUCAUUUAUACGCUGUACGAUAAUCGGUAUCUAUAGCAAAUCCUGCAAUGUUGCAUAUAAGGUUAUAAGUUAUUAUACAAUAAAGUGACACCAUCUGAUAAGAGAACAAAAUAAAUAUGACACGACAAUUUGUUGUCGCUUAUGCAUGAAACUAGUUGCGGUUGCGAUGCAGUCAUCGCUAUUUCGUCGAAUAGAAACUGCACACUUGUGUGAAUAGACGAAAUAAAAGAAAAAUUAUGUAA